rnacentral:rRNA from 1 species
UACGUAGGGGGCAAGCGUUGUCCGGAUUUACUGGGCGUAAAGAGCGUGUAGGCGGCCAGGCAGGUCUGUUGUGAAAACUGGAGGCUCAACUUCCAGACGUCGACAGAAACCGCUUGGCUAGAGUCCGGAAGAGGAGAGUGGAAUUCCUGGUGUAGCGGUGAAAUGCGCAGAUAUCAGGAAGAACACCGAUGGCGAAGGCAGGUCACUGGGCCGCAACUGACGCUGAGGAGCGAAAGCAUGGGGAGCGAACAGG